GAAAGUAUGUCUAGAGGGGGGGGGUGAUUAGACUACUUGUCAAUAUAAAAAUUCUGCCUUUUGACAAAGAACAGUUUUUGGCAGAUUCACAAUUAUGAUCAAGUCAAGCAUCACCCUACACAUGCAAUUCUAGAGUAUAGGCAGCGGAAAGUAAAUUGCACAUGUAGUAAAGAGAGGUGGAGAAGAGCAAACGCAAUUUUGGAGACGCGGUGAUUUUUCUCGUGGUUCCGAUAGGUGGUGCUAUCGUACUUCCACGUUGAUGGAGACUUCAACCCACGGAGGGUAACGACUGCGAGAGUCCACGGAGGGCUCCACCCACGAAGGGUCCACGAAGAAGCAACCUUGUCUAUUCCAUCAUGGCCUACGCCCACGGAGGGCUAGCCUUACUCGGGGUAGAUCUUCACGAAGUAGGCGAUCUCCUUGCCCUUACAAACUUCUUGGUUCAACUCCACAUCUCGACGACGGAGGCUCCCAAGCGACACCUAACCAAUCUAGGAGGCACCACCCUCCAAAAGGUAAUAGAUGUUGUAGAUGAUGAUGAACUCCUUGCUCUUGUGCUUCAAAUGAUAAUCUCCCCAACACUCAACUCUCCUCACUGAUUUGGCUGUGGUGGAAGAAAGGAUUGAGUGGAAAGCAACUUGGGAAGGCUAGAGAUCAAGCUUCAUAUGGUGGGAGUGGAGCAACUUGAUCUCAACACAAGGGUAGGUAGUUCUCUUCUCAGAAAUGUAAGGUAGGAGUGGUAGUUCUUUCUGAUGGCUCUCUCCACGAAUGAAGAGGGGGUGGAGGGGUAUAAAUAGCCUCCACACAAAAUCCAACCGUUACACACAUUUGAGCAAUCUCGGUGGGACCGAAGUGGACAACUCGGUGAGACCGAUAGUUCAAAUAAUGUGAACGUUGGGAUUUUCAGUGGGACCGAAAAUACAAUCUCGAUUAGUCCGAUUCGUGCAAUGACAAGAGCAUGCCAGUUUCGGUGGGACCGACUUCAUCAUCUCGGUGACACCGAUUUGAUGACAGAAGGUUACAGAAGCUUGGCAACUCAUGUUUCGGUGAGACCGAGUUCAGAAUCGGAAAAUCCGAGUUUACUAGGGUUUGGCUUAUGGCUGAGGUGGUUCAUCUCGGUGUGACUGAGUUUGGAAUAUCGGUGGGACCGAGACUACUUAUGAGUGUAUAUGGCAGUGAAAGUUGCUGAUAGUUUAGGAGAUGUAUCACUAAGCACUUGAGCAACCAGAUCAUCAUCAUAACCUCAUCCCCUUUUAAUAGUAUUGGCUUUUCCUAUGGACUCAAUGUGAUCUUGGAUCACUAAACCAAAAAUGGAGUCUUGAGCUUUUGCCAAUGCUUGCCUUAGCAUUUUGGGGGGUCCACUUCUUCAGUCCUUGCCAUACCCAUAUCACUGAACUCUCUGAAAUGAUUCUCAAGUAACUAUUAGUUCAAUGAUAUAUAUGUUGUUAUUAAUUACCAAAACCACCCGGGGAUUAGUUGCACUUUCAAUCUCCCCCUUUUUGGUAAUUGAUGACAACAUAUAGAUCAAAGCUUCGACAAAGGAUAUAAUCAAUGAAUAAUAUCGUCGCUUUGAGAAGUAUGUGAUAAGCAAGAGCUCCCCCUAAAUUUGUGCAUUAUUUAAGAUUUGCGUUUGAAUGCAAAUGCACAAUCGAUUAGGAUCAUGGGUCACUCUUCCAUGUCACAUACAUCUUGGUGGAGCGCACAAAAUGAUAAGAAUGAAGAGCAUGCACCCAAUCACCAAGACAUGAGUAAAUGGUCAUACGAGAUAGGAAUGGCAUAUGAUAAGCAUUAAGCACACAUUAAAGCAUAGUACGACCAAGCACUCAUUAAGGUAGAAUCAAACGGAGUAUCAAACACACUGAAUGUCUCGAAAACCAAAAGUAUCUCAAAGAAACCGCAAAAGAACGAAAGAGCAAAAGCGCAAAGACAACAUCACUCUCUCUCUCGAAGCCCUAUGAUCUAUACAAUUUCUCCCCCUUUGGCAACAAGUUACCAAAAAGUUCGAAAAAGCAUAGAGCUAAGCGUCACUGCGGACUCUGCUGGCGGCUCCCGUCUGGGUUGAUGUCGGAGUGGAUAUGACAGCAUCGGCGAAGACUUCAGCUGAUGUCUGUGCUGGAGGAGUGGACACUGGAGCUGGAGCUAGAGUAGGAGCAACUGCUGGAACUGUGGGAGGUGCUGAAGCUGUAGUCCUGGUGUCAGUCACUGGAAUAGCAGCUGAUCGGGAUCCUUUGGGAACCGGAGCAGUCUGUCAAUGAGAAUCCUGGACUAAGUCAUCCUGCAACUCACGCAUAAGCUCUGCCUUCUCCUGCUUUGCUUCCUCAAUGUCUGCCUCGAGCUUGUUGACGGUCACUUGUACUUCAGUCAGCUUCACGUCCAGAGCGUAGAUCUUCUUGUCAACAAUCCUCUCUAAGCUCUCCUGAGACUGUUCAAUGCUGGCCAAGCGUUGUUCAAUCCUUUGAGUAGCUUCAAGAAUUUGCUCUCCGAAACUCUUUGGUUUAGUUGCUGCUGCUGCUGCUUCUUUGUCAGCUUUGGCUUUCUUAGCAGCUGCGAUCUUGGCUUGACCUUCAACAGAUGUCAGAUCCUCCUCAUCCAUCACAACAACAUUGUCUUCAUGCUCUGGCUGCAACGGUAAAUGUUCUCUAUCCAACAAGAAUGUGCCCGUGCCAAACUUGGCAUUGAUAAGCAUCUGAAUCUGCGGGGCAAAUCCACAUGACCUUUUCUGGUCAGCUGCAGUCCUCUUAAUGGUCUCUACCAUCAAGUCCAUCACCUUGAAAGGUGCUCUCUCAUCAAGUAUGUGCAGCAUGUUGAUAGAGUAUCCUCUGAUCAUGCGAUCAUCUCCAGAUUUGGGCAUCAAGGUAUGCCUCAAAAUGGUAUUAGUGGUAGGUAAGCCUGCCUGGAGAUGGUAGACUGAGCCGAGCUUCCAGAUUUGCAAAUCCUCUGCUGGAAUCUCUUUGUACAUGUUUUUCAUGGAUUCAUGAUUCUUCUUUGGAAUCCCAUAUACAUCAAUAUCAUCUUCUCAUUGCACUGGAGCAUUCAGAAUUUCUGCCCAUUCUUCAACAGAAGAAGAAAACCUUUGACCUUCAGUCAUCCACAUAAUCUUUCCAUCAGGGUAGAAGUGAGCCGUGGCAUAAAAUUGCAUUAUCAUCUCAUCGUUCCAACUGGUCAAUUUCUGACCUACAAAAUCUGCAACUCCACAUGCAGUGAAACUUUCAUGCACAUGUGGAAAGAAAUCUCUAUGCUCUUCGCUGUCAAUGUACUUCCAGUCAACAUAUCGGGUGUCUGCGACUAUGGGCUUCUUGUCCAUCAGCACGGUCUCAUAGAAGUCCUGCUGCUCUCUGGUGUGAAAUCUGGGUUCUACAGCAGUUCUUAUCCUCACGGCAUAUGGGUCAGUUUGUCUCCAUAGCCUGAGACCUUUAUCUUUCCUUGCCUUCAUAUCCUCAGCUUGAGGAUGAGCAUCAUUAUGGAGUGGCAGUUUUGGACGAAGUUUCAGCAAAACUGGUCCUUCAUCGUCAGACUCAGCUGGUGGCACAUCAUCCUUGUUCUUUUCAGACGCUGGAAUGUUUCUGACGGUCCUCUUGGGCUUGGCAGCAGGCUUUGCUGGAGCUGCCUUAGCUGGAGCAGAUUUCUUGGGCUUUGAUGUCGCUCCAGCCUUAAUGGCAUCACCCAUGAGCUUCGGCUUCUGAGGAGGAGGCUGGGGUGCUUCCUCAUCCUCAUCCUCUACUGCUGCAUCAUGCACUAUCCUCUUUCUCUUGGUGGUUUUCUUCACUUUGCUUGCAGCUGCCUCUCCCAAAUUCAGCUUCUUAGCAACAGUUGACUGCUUGACUUUGCUAGUGCCCUUCUUAGAUUGUUGAUCUUGUUGCUCUUUGGCAACAACCUUCCUUUUAGGCUUUGAGGUCACCUCUUCCUCAACAACAAAAUCUGAAUCCUCAUCAUCUGAAUUCCUCUUCUUUCUAGCUCUGGUGGCUGCAGGAGGCAUGCCACUUGGUGUACUCCUCUCACCAUCAUCAGAUGAGCUACUAGGAUCAGGACUAGUGCCUGCCUCUGGAAUGUCUGCAAUGGGUGUCUCUGACCUGUUCUCACUGUCACUGGCAUCUGACAUGGCUGACAACCUGUGAAUAGAUAAGGUGUAGGCAGAGAAGAAGAGUCAUCACAAACUGCAGAAGUUUUUGAAAAAAAUGAGUUCAAAUUCUAGUAUUAAGUUUUCACAGAAGACAUUUCGGUCAGACCGAGUUUAAGGUUCGGUGAAUUCGAAGUGUUAAACAGGAGCUUGGCACACCACUUUCGGUUUGACCGAAGUGGGUUUCGGUCCUGCCGAAAACACUAGGGUUUCACAGAAUCUUCAUUUCGGUCACACCGAUUUUGCACAACUCGGUUGAACUGAAGGGUGCAGUGCAAUGGCCAUAGGCCAAAUUGGUCAUACCGAAAAUAUAAAAUCGGUCUCACCGAGAUGUGUUCCGCGGAAACCUAACCCUAAAACUUUUACUCGAAUCUAGUUCAAACGAACUAAUCUGGUGUACAGGAGGAUUUCAAUCGUGGCAAGAUACUAGGCAAUCCAAACGUGCAUUGAAUCGGAGAUGGGAGCACGAGUGGGAUCAAAACUCACCCUAACUUGGUGGAGUUUUUCUACGGCGGCAACGGCGCGGAGGAGAUGGCCGUUGACGGCGACGGAGACCUGCGGCGAGGGCGCACAGGCGACGACGGCGACGAUCCGGAGACCAAGGCGACGGCAGCAAGGGGUGUGAGGGCGAAACGUUUGAAGGAGGAAUCAACGCGCGCGGCCCUCGGAAUAUAUACCCCUUCGCUGUCGGUGGGACCGAGUUGUAAAACUCGGUGGCACCGAGAUGGAUAACUGCUAGGCAGUUAUGCACUUCGGUCACGCCGAAAAUCACAACUCGGUUUCACCGAGAUGAAAACCUAGAUCAGUCUAAAUGCUUUCGGUUCGACCGAGUUUGAGUGAGUUGGUCUGACCGAAAUCAAUUAGAAGGUUUUGGAAAUUAGCCCUUGACGGAUCGGUGGCUCCGAGUGCUCCUCACCCGGAGGGUCCGAAAAUGACUUGUUCAAAAUUUGUGAUGUAAGCAUGAAUAGAAUUUGAGACAAGAAAGCAUAGAUAGCUGGGGGAGGUACUUAGGCAUUCUUGUCCAUCCAUUUGGUCAGAAAAAUCAAAACGACCAAAACAACAAAUGGAUGUCCUCGAAUGGAUAAAAUCAUGCAUCCAACAUGCUCACACAAUAAGAUAGCAAAUGAAAUAUGUGUCAAACAUGCACAACCAAAACUCUAGCAACUAACACACAAUUUGUCGAUGACUAGGUCAUCUUUAUAUGAGUAUAUUGACUUAGGAGCCAAAUGAGAACAUUUGAUCAUAGGUCAUACUCAUCGUUUAAGGACAAGUGGGGUUACCACUUUUACAUCAUUUGAAGAUGCUUUAGCUCAAUUUUUUAGAGCAAAGCUCCCCCUAGAUGUGAGAACCCCUUUUAAAGGGUCAAACUAACCUUGGGUUGUCGUAGAAGACUUCAUGUAGAUGUUGAAGAUGUGGAUGCUCAAUGUUGAUGGAGAUCAUCAAGAGUUGGGAGCUAUCCUUUGGAUUCGGGCACUUUCAAUACCUACAUGGGUUAGUCCCACAAGGAACAAACAAGGAUAUCCAUGGACAUAGAUUGAAGUUCACAAUAGAUGAUGUCCAUGAAAGCAAUGAUUACCUUGUCCCUUGACUUACCAACAAGAGGGUUUGUGACUCCAUGAACUAGUGCACAAUGUGGAAGUUGAUUGCACAAGUUUUUGCCAAAAUGAAUGUGAGUGAAGUAUGUUGGCGGAGUCACCCUCAAGAACUUUCUAGUUCUUCUUCUUCGGGAUCCACAUCAUCUUGAUGGGAAUCCUUGGGGUUGUAGUUGAGCUUGACGAAGUAGAACUUGACGUUUCCUUGGGAACCCACUUGACCAUGGCUUGAGGUGCUUCAACAAAUGCAUCAAUCUCCUCUUGAAGCUUGUCCUUGCCUUUUAGCUUGUGGUCUUGUGGUGGAAGGUCAUCUUGAGCUUGUUCCACCUUGGAAGAAGUAGGAUCAUACUUCUCCUUUUGAGGAACAAACUGUGGAGUAGGAUAUUGACCUUCUUCCCACUCAACGCCUUCGGCGUUGAACUUUCGCUCAAAACCAAUUCCUUGAUUCUUACGGUGCCUUCCUUGCUUGCGAACAAUUUCCUCAAAGUUCUUGCUUCCGGCAAGGCUCUUGUAGACACCUUUCUCUAUGAUCCCUUUCAAUAAACUAUUCUCUUGCUCAAGUGUAACUUGGCUUGAAACAUUGUUAGUGGAAUCAAGAGAACUACUAGAAGCAACAACAUUGGAUUUAGCAUGGUUAUUGUUACUGCUAGAGGAAGAAUUUUUCUUAUGCUUGUCAUGCUUAGUCUUAAUGGGUGGCAAGAAAUUAGACAAGAGAAGUCGUUUGGCAAGAUAUGAAGAACUCUUCUUUCGAAGAUCGUCAUUGAUUGCUUUUAGAAACUCAUGUUCUUGCUCUAGAGUGAGCUUCUCGAAGCGUAGCUUGUCAUGAGAUCUUAGGAGCUCUCUAUGAUCUUCUUGAGUUGUUUCAUGAGCUAACUUAAGAGUGUUUAGUUCUUUAGUUAGACGCUCAAUCUCCUUCAUAGCAUUGUCAUUCGACUCUUCUCGACUAUAAAGACUACUAGCAUGUUCGUCGUUACUAGGCUCACUGGAUUUAUCAUGCAAGAGCUCAUCUUCACCAAGCAAGUCAUCCUCAUCACUAUCGAAGUCAAUGAAUUCAGGGUGUGAUACCUUGGGGCCUUUAGCCAUGAAGCAUCUUCCAAUUCCCUCAUUUGGUGAAUCAAAUAAGUCGUAGGAGUUGCAGUUGGAGGAUACGAGAGCAAGACCGGCAACACCUUCAUCUUGACUGUAGUCGGAGUCGGAGUGAUAGCUUCCUUCGGAUUGAUUGUCGGAGUCGGAGCCGGAGACCCAUUCACCUACAUGAGCUUGAUGUUUUCUUCUUGUGUAGCUCCUUGAUGACUUGUCUUUCCUCUCCGAAUCCUUGCUUCUCCGAGAGGGUCUUCGUUCAUAACGAUCAUCUCUGGUCCUUCUCUCUUUCCGAGGUGACUCAUCUCUUGAGCUUCUUCUUCUUGGAGAUUCUUCUCUUCUCUUGUGGGGAGCCGUACACUCAUUUGAGUAGUGUCCGGGUCUUCCACAAUUGUAGCAGUUUCGAUCACGACUAGAAGAUCUCUUUUCAUCAUAUGAUCUAGACUUUGAGCUUCUCUCUUUGCCUCUAUUCUUGUAGAAUUUGUUGAAGUUCUUAACCAUUAGGCUUAUCUCUUCAUUGGAAACUAACUUGUCACUUGAGGUUGUGGGAGCAUCACUUGUAGCUUUGUAAGCACCACUUGACUUGUUGUGAAGCUCUUCCUUAUCCUUAAGUGUCAUCUCAUGAGCAACAAUUCUUCCAAUGACUUCGGUUGGCUUGAGAGUCUUGUAGUUUGGCAUCAUUUGGAUCAAAGUGCACACGGUGUCAUACUUUCCAUCCAAAGCUCUGAGAAUCUUCUUGAUGAUGAAUCGGUCGGUCAUUUCUUCGCUUCCUAAGCCGGCAAUCUCAUUUGUGAUGAGAGCAAGCCUAGAGUACAUUUCAGCGACUCCUUCACCAUCCUUCAUCUUGAACUUGUCAAGUUGACCUUGAAGAAUAUCUAGCUUUGAUUCCUUCACGGACUCGGUACCUUCGUGCAUUUCAACCAAAGUAUCCCAAAUCUCUUUUGCAUUCUCAAGACGGCUGAUUUUGUUGAACUCCUCGGGACACAAGGCAUUGAAGAGAAUGUCACAAGCUUGAGCAUUGUUUUGCAACAUCCGCAAUUCUUCCGGUGUAGCUUCGCGAUCCGGAACUUUUCCUUCCUCGAAGAAUUCACCUUGCAUACCAACACAAAUAAUGCCCCAUGCGGCUGGGUUAUGACCAAGAAUAUGCAUUUUCAUUUUAUGCUUCCAACUAGCAAAAUUUGUACCAUCAAAGUAAGGACCACUACGAAAAUUACCCUCACUAGACGCCAUACUCUCCUAGGUUGUGAAACCAAGCUUAUGGAGUCCAAUGCAAUGGAAACCAAUACAAUGGAGACCAAAGCUCUGAUACCACUUGUAGGAUCGAAAGUAUGUCUAGAGGGGGGUGAUUAGACUACUUGUCAGUAUAAAAAUUCUGCCUUUUGACAAAGAACAGUUUUUGGCAGAUUCACAAUUAUGAUCAAGUCAAGCAUCACCCUACACAUGCAAUUCUAGAGUAUAGGCAGCGGAAAGUAAAUUGCACAUGUAGUAAACAGAGGUGGAGAAGAGCAAACGCAAUUUUGGAGACGCGGUGAUUUUUCUCGUGGUUCCGAUAGGUGGUGCUAUCGUACUUCCACGUUAAUGGAGACUUCAACCCACGGAGGGUAACGGCUGCGAGAGUCCAUGGAGGGCUCCACCCACGAAGGGUCCACGAAGAAGCAACCUUGUCUAUUCCAUCAUGGCCUACGCCCACGGAGGGCUAACUUACUCGGGGUAGAUCUUCACGAAGUAGGCGAUCUCCUUGCCCUUACAAACUUCUUGGUUCAACUCCACAUCUCGACGACGGAGGCUCCCAAGCGACACCUAACCAAUCUAGGAGGCACCACCCUCCAAAAGGUAAUAGAUGUUGUAGAUGAUGAUGAACUCCUUGCUCUUGUGCUCCAAAUGAUAAUCUCCCCAACACUCAACUCUCCUCACUGAUUUGGCUGUGGUGGAAGAAAGGAUUGAGUGGAAAGCAACUUGGGAAGGCUAGAGAUCAAGCUUCAUAUGGUGGGAGUGGAGCAACUUGAUCUCAACACAAGGGUAGGUAGUUCUCUUCUCAGAAAUGUAAGGUAGGAGUGGUAGUUCUUUCUGAUGGCUCUCUCCACGAAUGAAGAGGGGUGGAGGGGUAUAAAUAGCCUCCACACAAAAUCCAACCGUUACACACAUUUGAGCAAUCUCGGUGGGACCGAAGUGGACAACUCGGUGAGACCGAUAGUUCAAAUAAUGUGAACGUUGGGAUUUUCGGUGGGACCGAAAAUACAAUCUCGGUUAGUCCGAUUCGUGCAAUGACAAGAGCAUGCCAGUUUCGGUGGGACCGACUUCAUCAUCUCGGUGACACCGAUUUGAUGACAGAAGGUUACAGAAGCUUGGCAACUCAUGUUUCGGUGAGACCGAGUUCAGAAUCGGAAAAUCCGAGUUUACUAGGGUUUGGCUUAUGGCUGAGGUGGUUCAUCUCGGUGUGACUGAGUUUGGAAUAUCGGUGGGACCGAGACUACUUAUGAGUGUAUAUGGCAGUGAAAGUUGCUGAUAGUUUAGGAGAUGUAUCACUAAGCACUUGAGCAACCAGAUCAUCAUCAUAACCUCAUCCCCUUUUAAUAGUAUUGGCUUUUCCUAUGGACUCAAUGUGAUCUUGGAUCACUAAACCAAAAAUGGAGUCUUGAGCUUUUGCCAAUGCUUGCCUUAGCAUUUUGGGGGGUCCACUUCUUCAGUCCUUGCCAUACCCAUAUCACUGAACUCUCUGAAAUGAUUCUCAAGUAACUAUUAGUUCAAUGAUAUAUAUGUUGUUAUUAAUUACCAAAACCACCCGGGGAUUAGUUGCACUUUCACCCGCCGUCAAGCAACAUCUUCGUGACCUUGAGGUUGCGGAUUGUUGGUGAGACCAACAUCGGCAAGCACCCGACCGCGGUGACGCGAUCGGGAUGAUCCUCAACAUCGAAGACGAUGGGCGUGCCGGACCACUUCAGGGGCUUGCGCGACUCGACGGACAGCUCCGCCGCGUUCACUUCUCGCACCCACUGCUUGAGUUGGCGGUGCGAGGCGUGUAGGGAGGCGCCGCCGUCGAUGCACAACACCUCUGUUGCCUUCUGAAACUCUUGGUCGUCAGUCUCAUCUUCCUCCAUUUCAUCCUCCUCAUCUUCAUCCUCAUCCUUAUCGCGACCCCGGGGAGGCCUGUCUCCUUGCCGCGGCUUGGCUUUGCCGCGGUGCCCUCCCCGGGCGGGAAGCUUCUUGCCGGAUCCUCCGCCACCUCCCUAGGCUCUCUCCUUAUCGCGGCGCUCGUACUCAGCUUUCUGUAGCUCCGCCAUCUGCUCCACUUUCUUGCAGGUUUGGAGACCAUGGCCCUUGGUACGGUGGAUCUUGCAAUACCGCUUGCCGGAGCCAUCCUGCUUGUCGGCGGCUACCACGGCCUCGCUGGAGUCAUCGGGUUUGACCUUGUCGGAGCCGCCUCCGUUGCCGGAAUGCUCGACCUCUAGCACAUCCUUAGCUUUUCUCUUCCGGUUGUUCCGCCUCCGGUUCUUCCUUGCCGGGGCGGCAUCCUCACUGUCAGACCCUUCUGCUCCUGCAAUCUCUCUGGGAAUCUUUCUCCCCUCCUCAGCCCGUGCGCACUUGUCAGCCAGAGCAUAAAGCUCGCUGACGUCUCUGAUAUUGCACAUCGCCAUCUCCUCCCUCAUCCUGCGGUUGCGCACGUUCUGGUGGAAUGCGCUGAUAACUGCGGCAGGGUGGACGUCUGGGAUAUUGCGCUGCACUUGGCUGAAUCUCUGUAUGUACUUGCGCAGGGGCUCUCCCUCCUUCUGGACGAGCAAAUGCAGGUCGCUUUCCUGGCCAUGGGGUUUGUGGCCGCCCAUGAAGGCGCCGACAAACUGAUGACACAGGUCCGCCCAUGAAGAGAUGGAGCCGUCCGGCAAGUGCAUGAGCCAAGAUCUGACGUUGGGCUUGAGUACCAGCGGGAAGUAGUUGGCGAGGAUCUUCUCGUCGCGCCCUCCGGCAGCCUGCACCGCGAUGGUGUAGAUGCUGAGGAACUCUGACGGAUGUAUCCUGCCAUCAUACUUCUCGGGCACGUCGGGCUUGAAGUUCUUGGUCUUGGGCCACUGGACUUGGCGCAGCUCGCGGGUGAACGCAGGGCAACCUGCCGCGUACGGCAAGUCGCCUGGUUCCCCUGGCGCUUGCAUGUCGACAGUGGGCCCAGCGCGCUGGUCAGAUUGACGUCGCGCUUCCAUUCUGCGCUCUAUGCGGGUGCGAGCGUCUUCAUGUUGCCGUUCUUGGAGAACGUGGCGCUGAUCACAGCGAGUUCGCGGGUCUGACGACGCAGUGGAGUCGGCAUCGGGGUUGGCCCGGCGAGCUGGCGAUCUUGGCCUUCGGGGCUGGGAGUGCACAGAGGUGGCACCCCCAGCGGUCUUGUCGGUGCCGACCUGUGCCUGGGCGUCUUGCCGGGGCUUCGACGCGCUCGGUCGCCGGGGCUUGUCGCUGUUAGCGAAGCCGAUGAGGCUGUAAAUGGUCAUCCUCCAGUCGUCGAUCUUGUGCGGCGCCGGAGGGUAAUCUUGAAGCAGCUGGGCUCGGGCCAGCGCUUCCUUUGCUGUCUUGGGUGGCGGUGGCGACGAGCGGCGCGAGGAGCGAGAUGUGCUCGGACUCCCAACUGGAUUGGGAGGAGCAAUACCUCGUCCGGGCGACCGUACCUCACUCGCGCCAGCAUGCUGGCGUGCAUGCUGGCCUCGAACGUCCCGCGACCCACCAGCUUGGCCUUGCUCCAAUGCAAGCACGGUGCUAGGAGCACCGGGGCGUUGUUGACCUUGCACCUCCUGGGAAGGGUGCGGCGUCUGCACCGUCGCCGACGCUUGCGGGGCCUUGUUCUUGGAUCUGGUGACGACGUGCGUCCCACCGUCGGCGCCCGCUCCUCCGCCGGCGUCCACUCCACCACCUGCUUGCUCCGGCGGGGGUGGUGGAAUUGAUGUAGACGGAGCGGCCACCUUCGAAGGCUUCUUCUUUGGUGGCAUGUUGACGAUGACGUUGAUGUAGCGCGCGUGGAGACCGGAUCAGAUGCUCACGACCUCGACGCCCCCCUACCUGGCGCGCCAAAGAUGUCGGGGCGUGUCUCUCUGUGGCCUCGAGCACCUAUGGGGCACGGGGGCCCCUUCUAGUCCGGCAAGGGAGCAGAGGGCGUGCGCAGAGCAGAUCGAGGUCGAGCGCGCGGGGGAGACGGGCGAUUUUUACCCAGCUUCAGGGCUCUCCGGAGAGAUAAAACCCCUACUGCUGCUUUGUGUUUGGUAUUUUAUCUUGCUCGAGCAUGCGAGCGUAUGGUGGUGUCGUGGGUGUCGAAUGGAUCGAACCCCUUCUACGUGCGCAUGGGCCUCCCUUUUAUACUCUGAAGGGGGCAUCCACAGGUGGCAGCGUAGGAAGAGGGGGUAGAAAGGUAAAAUCGCAGGUUGGUACAACAGUGACCAACAGUGACCCCUACCUAACUCUGACGGCAGGGGACAAGGGCAUUAAAUGCCCGUCCGGUCGCCCCAACAGUGCAGAGGAGUGACCGUUAAGUGAGCCACCGGUUGCCACGAUGGCGUCUCUGUCAGCUCCGUUUGCCACCUCGCCCCGCAUGGCUGCGUAGUGCCUCGCCACGUGCCCUUGGGAUGGCCUUGUGAUGACACGUCGCCGGAUGCGCUGGGGUUUGGGUGGCAGCCUUGCCGCGGCAAGUGCCUUGCCGCGGCCCUUUUCUUGUCGUGCCGGCAAGCUUGCCGACCGUCGGGCCUUGCCGGGACGCGCGGGGCGCCGCGGCAAGUCUUCUGGUGAUGCCUUGGUUGUCCUUCCCGACAAGCUCCUCUUGCCGGGGUCUUUGUUUUCUUGGUUAGAACUUUGUUCUUGAAUGGCAGUAGUGGGUGUGAUGGAGGGUCUUGGCGGGCGUCCGGCAAGCCUUGCCGCGGGGUGCUGCGACCGCCCGUGCACAAGUUCGGGGUACUAAAGUACCCCUACUUUAGUACACCGACA
rnacentral:lncRNA from 1 species